rnacentral:rRNA from 1 species
AGAGUUUGAUCCUGGCUCAGGAUGAACGCUAGCUACAGGCUUAACACAUGCAAGUCGAGGGGCAUCGGGAAGAAAGCUUGCUUUCUUUGCCGGCGACCGGCGCACGGGUGAGUAACACGUAUCCAACCUGCCCUUUACUCGGGGAUAGCCUUUCGAAAGAAAGAUUAAUACCCGAUGGCAUAAUGAUUCCGCAUGGUUUCAUUAUUAAAGGAUUCCGGUAAAGGAUGGGGAUGCGUUCCAUUAGGUUGUUGGUGAGGUAACGGCUCACCAAGCCUUCGAUGGAUAGGGGUUCUGAGAGGAAGGUCCCCCACAUUGGAACUGAGACACGGUCCAAACUCCUACGGGAGGCAGCAGUGAGGAAUAUUGGUCAAUGGGCGCUAGCCUGAACCAGCCAAGUAGCGUGAAGGAUGAAGGCUCUAUGGGUCGUAAACUUCUUUUAUAUAAGAAUAAAGUGCAGUAUGUAUACUGUUUUGUAUGUAUUAUAUGAAUAAGGAUCGGCUAACUCCGUGCCAGCAGCCGCGGUAAUACGGAGGAUCCGAGCGUUAUCCGGAUUUAUUGGGUUUAAAGGGAGCGUAGGUGGACUGGUAAGUCAGUUGUGAAAGUUUGCGGCUCAACCGUAAAAUUGCAGUUGAUACUGUCAGUCUUGAGUACAGUAGAGGUGGGCGGAAUUCGUGGUGUAGCGGUGAAAUGCUUAGAUAUCACGAAGAACUCCGAUUGCGAAGGCAGCUCACUGGACUGCAACUGACACUGAUGCUCGAAAGUGUGGGUAUCAAACAGGAUUAGAUACCCUGGUAGUCCACACAGUAAACGAUGAAUACUCGCUGUUUGCGAUAUACAGUAAGCGGCCAAGCGAAAGCAUUAAGUAUUCCACCUGGGGAGUACGCCGGCAACGGUGAAACUCAAAGGAAUUGACGGGGGCCCGCACAAGCGGAGGAACAUGUGGUUUAA